ensembl:snoRNA SNORD34 Small nucleolar RNA SNORD34
UGGUGUCCGUGAUGAUCCACGGUUACCUACAUUGUUUGAUCCUCAUGAGAACAGCACUAGCUGAGACACCU